rnacentral:rRNA from 1 species
UACAGAGGUCCCAAGCGUUGUUCGGAUUCAUUGGGCGUAAAGGGUGCGUAGGUGGCGCCGUAAGUCGGGUGUGAAAUUUCGGAGCUUAACUCCGAAACUGCAUUCGAUACUGUGGUGCUCGAGGACUGGAGAGGAGACUGGAAUUCAUGGUGUAGCAGUGAAAUGCGUAGAGAUCAUGAGGAAGACCAGUGGCGAAGGCGGGUCUCUGGACAGUUCCUGACACUGAGACACGAAGGCCAGGGGAGCAAACGGG